rnacentral:rRNA from 1 species
GAUGAACGCUGGCGGCGUGCCUAAUACAUGCAAGUCGAGCGAACAGACGAGGAGCUUGCUCCGCUGACGUUAGCGGCGGACGGGUGAGUAACACGUGGAUAACCUACCUAUAAGACUGGGAUAACUUCGGGAAACCGGAGCUAAUACCGGAUAACAUGUUGAACCGCAUGGUUCAACAGUGAAAGACGGUCUUGCUGUCACUUAUAGAUGGAUCCGCGCCGCAUUAGCUAGUUGGCAAGGUAACGGCUUACCAAGGCAACGAUGCGUAGCCGACCUGAGAGGGUGAUCGGCCACACUGGAACUGAGACACGGUCCAGACUCCUACGGGAGGCAGCCGUAGGGAAUCUUCCGCAAUGGGCGAAAUCCUGACGGAGCAACACCGCGUGAAUGAAGAAGGUCUUCGGAUCGUAAAACUCUGUUAUUAGUGAAGAACAAAUGUGUAAGUAACUAUGCACGUCUUGACGGUACCUAAUCAGAAAGCCACGGCUAACUACGUU